rnacentral:rRNA from 1 species
UGGGGAAUAUUGCACAAUGGGGGAAACCCUGAUGCAGCGACGCCGCGUGAACGAAGAAGGUAUUCGUAUCGUAAAGUUCUGUCCUAUGGGAAGAUAAUGACAGUACCAUAGAAGAAAGCUCCGGCUAAAUACGUGCCAGCAGCCGCGGUAAUACGUAUGGAGCGAGCGUUGUCCGGAAUUAUUGGGAGUAAAGGGUACGCAGGCGGUUUAAUAAGUCGAAUGUUAAAGAUCGGGGCUCAACCCCGCAAAGCAUUGGAAACUGAUAAACUUGAGUAGUGGAGAGGAAAGUGGAAUUCCUAGUGUAGUGGUGAAAUACGUAGAUAUUAGGAGGAAUACCAGUAGCGAAGGCGACUUUCUGGACACAAACUGACGCUGAGGUACGAAAGCGUGGGGAGCAAACAGG